ACACAUCCAAAAUAUCAUAGUCAACCAUUUCUAAUUUCCAAUUCUAGAUCCCUACACCUAUUUACAUCACAUCGCCCCAAAUUCCACUCCCCCUAAAUAAACCCAAAAUAAACAAAGAUAAAAAAAGUCUCUGAAUGUAUAACAUCAAACCAACCUUCUCUCCUUCAUUUCCUCCAAUUAUAGGGUGGAGCAAACCAUAGAGUUCCCCAAAUCCAAACCAGAUAAAUAUAACAUCUCAAAUUUAAUCUUCUAUUCCACUAUUCUCGGAUCACCUACAAAACUUUACCAUUAAAAAAAAAAAACCCCUCUUUUUUCGGUUAUUUUCAUUCUCUUUCUGUUAUAACAAACUUUUCCUCAUCUUAUUCAUUUCCGUUACAAGGUACCGUUAUGGUACCGACGGAAGAUAAGGCUUAGCUCUAACAAAACAAUAAAAAAUUCAGAGCUACUUUAUCUUCCGUUUCUUUCAACAAUAACAACAACACUCAGAUAUUUUUUAAGAUUUUAUCUGAGAUAUAUUACAUUAGUCUUUGCAGUUACACGUAGAAGAAACUAAUUUUCUUUCUGAUUCAAAUUGUUAGUUAUUAUGUCGACUAAGGUUAUUCUUCGACCAGCCGGAUCAUCGAUCCGGCGACAAGCGCUUCUACAAAGCAAGAGUUCUGCCAAAGCAAGCACACAUCUCGGUGAAGCUGUUGGAGGAA
rnacentral:lncRNA from 1 species